AGACCCGAAACCCGGUGAUCUAGCCAUGGGCAGGUUGAAGGUUGGGUAACACUAACUGGAGGACCGAACCGACUAAUGUUGAAAAAUUAGCGGAUGACCUGUGGCUGGGGGUGAAAGGCCAAUCAAACCGGGAGAUAGCUGGUUCUCCCCGAAAGCUAUUUAGGUAGCGCCUCGUGAAUUCAUCUCCGGGGGUAGAGCACUGUUUCGGCUAGGGGGCCAUCCCGGCUUACCAACCCGAUGCAAACUGCGAAUACCGGAGAAUGUUAUCACGGGAGACACACGGCGGGUGCUAACGUCCGUCGUGAAGAGGGAAACAACCCAGACCGCCAGCUAAGGUCCCAAAGUCAUGGUUAAGUGGGAAACGAUGUGGGAAGGCCCAGACAGCCAGGAUGUUGGCUUAGAAGCAGCCAUCAUUUAAAGAAAGCGUAAUAGCUCACUGGUCGAGUCGGCCUGCGCGGAAGAUGUAACGGGGCUA
rnacentral:rRNA from 2 species